GGGAACCUGAAAUUCCAUUUGAAUUGGCGGACGAGUCAAGGACUUUUUCUCUGUAAUUGUCGAAAUUAACUCAACCUCAGCACUCAAUGUUGAUUCAGUUUGCCCUGGAAAUUUUCGUAUCUUCCAAACCAAACAGUCAAUGGCUGCAUUAUACUUUGCUCUCCCUGACGUCACCUGGAAGUUUGUUUUAGCAGUUUGCUUUGGCACUGGAAUUUUAAUAACUACUCCAAGAGCAAACAUUUUUGCACCAAACACACUCUUAACCUUAACAUUCACUUCCAUACGUGUACGGCCUAAUUCUUUGAUAGUUGGUAAUACACGGAAAGGAAGAUUUACUCCUUCAGUGAUGCGGUACUUCAUUAAUUCAAAUUCACCAUCAGGCGGGACAAAACUGACGGUCUUCUCUGAGUUGAAUCUCGUCAAAUUUACACAUUGGUGGAA
rnacentral:misc_RNA from 1 species